rnacentral:rRNA from 1 species
AGCAGCCGCGGUAAUUCCAGCUCCAAUAGCGUAUAUUAAAGUUGUUGCAGUUAAAAAGCUCGUAGUUGAAUUUCGGGGGUUAGUAGGUUGGUCAUGCCUCUGGUAUGUACUGGUCUCACUGAUUCCUCCUUCUUGAAGAACCGUAAUGUCAUUAACUUGGUGUUGCGGGGAAACAGGACUGUUACUUUGAAAAAAAUUAGAGUGUUUAAAGCAGGCAAACGCCUGAAUACAUUAGCAUGGAAUAAUGAAAUAGGACGUUCGAUCCUAUUUUGUUGGUUUCUAGGAUUGACGUAAUGAUUAAUAGGGAUAGUUGGGGGCAUUAGUAUUCAAUUGUCAGAGGUGAAAAUUCUUGGAUUUAUGAAGACUGACUACUGCGAAAGCAUUUGCCAAGGAUGUUUUCAUUAAUCAAGAACGAAAGUUAGGGGAUCGAAGACGAUCAGAUACCGUCGUAGUCUUAACCAUAAACUACGCCGACUAGGGAUCGGAUGAUAGUUAAUUUUUUAUAGUACUCAUUCGGCGU